rnacentral:rRNA from 1 species
CAAGAAAAGCGUCUAGAGAGAGAAGUAGUGCCCGUACCGCAAACCGACACAGGUAGGUGAGGAGAGAAUCCUAAGGCCGGCGGAAGAAUUACAGUUAAGGAACUCGGCAAAUUGACCCCGUAAGUUCGCGAGAAGGGGUGCCUACGAGAGUAGGCCGCAGAGAAUAGGCCCAAGCAACUGUUUAGCAAAAACACAGGUCUCUGCUAAAGCGUAAGCUGAUGUAUAGGGGCUGACGCCUGCCCGGUGCUGGAAGGUUAAGGGGAACACUUAGCGCAAGCGAAGGUGUGAACUUAAGCCCCAGUAAACGGCGGCCGUAACUAUAACGGUCCUAAGGUAGCGAAAUUCCUUGUCAGGUAAGUUCUGACCCGCACGAAUGGCGUAAUGACUUGGGCACUGUCUCAACUGUAAAUCCGGCGAAGUUGUAGUGCGAGUGAAGAUGCUCGCUACCCGCGAUUGGACGGAAAGACCCCGUAGAGCUUUACUGUAGCUUAGCAUUGAGUUUUGGUAUUGUCUGUACAGGAUAGGUGGGAGACUAGGAAACCAGGGCGUCAGCCUUGGUGGAGUCAACCUUGGGAUACCACCCUGACAGUACUGAAAUUCUAACUGGCGGCCAUGAAUCUGGUCACAGGACAUUGUUAGGUGGGCAGUUUGACUGGGGCGGUCGCCUCCUAAAAAGUAACGGAGGCGCCCAAAGGUUCCCUCAGAACGGUCGGAAAUCGUUCGAAGAGUGCAAAGGCAGAAGGGAGCCUGACUGCGACACCCACAAGUGGAGCAGGGACGAAAGUCGGGCUUAGUGAUCCGGUGGUACCUCGUGGGAGGGCCAUCGCUCAACGGAUAAAAGCUACCUCGGGGAUAACAGGCUGAUCUCCCCCAAGAGUCCACAUCGACGGGGAGGUUUGGCACCUCGAUGUCGGCUCGUCGCAUCCUGGGGCUGAAGUAGGUCCCAAGGGUUGGGCUGUUCGCCCAUUAAAGCGGCACGCGAGCUGGGUUCAGAACGUCGUGAGACAGUUCGGUCCCUAUCCGUCGCGGGCGUAGGAAAUUUGAGAGGAGCUGUCCUUAGUACGAGAGGACCGGGAUGGACUGACCUCUGGUGUACCAGUUGUUCCGCCAGGAGCACAGCUGGGUAGCUAAGUCGGGAAUGGAUAAACGCUGAAAGCAUCUAAGCGUGAAGCCAACCUCAAGAUGAGAUUUCCCAUAGCGUAAGCUAGUAAGAUCCCUUGAAGAACACAAGGUUGAUAGGUCGGGGGUGUAAGCAUGGUAACAUGUUCAGCUGACCGAUACUAAUAGAUCGAGGGCUUGACCAAAU